GGUGAACGCUGGCGGCGUGCCUAAUACAUGCAAGUCGAGCGAACAGACGAGGAGCUUGCUCCUCUGACGUUAGCGGCGGACGGGUAAGUAACACGUGGAUAACCUACCUAUAAGACUGGGAUAACUUCGGGAAACCGGAGCUAAUACCGGAUAAUAUAUUGAACCGCAUGGUUCAAUAGUGAAAGACGGUUUUGCUGUCACUUAUAGAUGGAUCCGCGCCGCAUUAGCUAGUUGGUAAGGUAACGGCUUACCAAGGCAACGAUGCGUAGCCGACCUGAGAGGGUGAUCGGCCACACUGGAACUGAGACACGGUCCAGACUCCUACGGGAGGCAGCAGUAGGGAAUCUUCCGCAAUGGGCGAAAGCUUGACGGAGCAACGCCGCGUGAGUGAUGAAGGUCUUCGGAUCGUAAAACUCUGUUAUUAGGGAAGAACAAAUGUGUAAGUAACUAUGCACGUCUUGACGGUACCUAAUCAGAAAGCCACGGCUAACUACGUG
rnacentral:rRNA from 1 species